rnacentral:tRNA from 2 species
GGAGAAGUACCCAAGUGGUUGAAGGGUCCGGUCUUGAAAACCGGUAGGUCGUUCGCGCGGCGCCUGGGUUCGAAUCCCAGCUUCUCCGCCA